GGGGCUGUGGCUCAGUGGUAGAGCAUCUGCCUUUCAUGCAUAAGGUCCCAGGUUCAGUUCCUGACAACUCCA